rnacentral:rRNA from 1 species
AUGCAUUGGUUCGCCUGGUGGAAAAUGUGUGUACCGAAGAAAAAAGGUGACAUGGGGUUUAGAGACCUUCACAACUUUAAUCUUGCUAUGUUAGCAAAGCAGUGUUGGCGACUACUCCAAAAUUCUGAUUCUUUGUGUGCACGAGUUCUGAGGGCAAAAUAUUAUCUCAAUGGAGAUAUUCUGAAAUCUGGCCCCAAGAAAGGUUCUUCGUUCACUUGGCAGAGUAUUGUAGCUGGUAUUCAAACUUUCAGAAGGGGAUGCAUAUGGCGUGUGGGUUCUGGUUCACACAUUAAUAUUUGGGAUGACCCGUGGAUACCCACUAGUAUGAACAGAAAGCCUAUUACCCCUAGGGGGUAUUAUGCUAACAAAAGUGGAAGAGAUAAUUGA